UACGGAGGAUGCAAGCGUUGUCCGGAUUUACUGGGCGUAAAGAGCGCGCAGGCGGUCGUUCAAGUCGCGUGUGAAAGCCCCCGGCUCAACUGGGGAGGGUCACGCGAUACUGAUCGACUCGAAGGCAGGAGAGGGUAGUGGAAUUCCCGGUGUAGUGGUGAAAUGCGUAGAUAUCGGGAGGAACACCAGUGGCGAAGGCGACUACCUGGCCUGUUCUUGACGCUGAGGCGCGAAAGCUAGGGGAGCAAACGGG
rnacentral:rRNA from 1 species